AUGUACCACUCGUAGACUGUGGUUCUGAGCGCGGCGUCCAUGCCCACCUUAUAGCUGCUGGCUACGUUUUGUUAGUC
rnacentral:sRNA from 1 species